UACGUAGGGUGCAAGCGUUGUCCGGAAUUAUUGGGCGAAAGAGCUCGUAGGCGGUCUGUCGCGUCGGCUGUGAAAACUCGGGGCUCAACUCCGAGCUUGCAGUCGAUACGGGCAGGCUAGAGUUCGGCAGGGGAGACUGGAAUUCCUGGUGUAGCGGUGAAAUGCGCAGAUAUCAGGAGGAACACCGGUGGCGAAGGCGGGUCUCUGGGCCGAUACUGACGCUGAGGAGCGAAAGCGUGGGGAGCGAACAGG
rnacentral:rRNA from 1 species